rnacentral:lncRNA from 1 species
UGUUUUUGUACUUAGGGUCACCAAGGAAGCCAGAGUGGAGGCUGCAGGGAAUAUGGAUUUAAAUGAAUUUUGGCUGUACCAUCAAGCAGUCUGAUCACUGAGGAAAUAUCAAAAGCUUCACCCGAGUGACUCAUCACCCAAAUUCAACAGAGAGUGAAGAGAAAUGUGCUUUCUGCUGAUAUUGUGCCCAAGGAGGAGUUGUAG